GAAGAGGUUUGGCAGUAACAAAGUUUAGCUAUUCUGCUGGCCAUCACUCCGGAAAGUGUUCCCACGAAGUGGCUGACUUAAAAAGUAAGCUUGACUAAGUAUCAUAUCACAUGAGCAGCACUGGAAAGAGGCAGAGCUGAGGGAAAGAGGGAAGCUUCUGUGUAGACGUCGACUUUACUCUUUGACCACCAUACCUUGCCUUUCAGUUUGUGGGUAGCUUAGGAAACCGAAGUCAGACAACAUAAUUGGCUUUUGGGGGAUAAGAAUUGUGUCUUUCGGAUGUUUCUCAUAGUGCUUUACAGGAUAUACCCUCAAAAGAAGCUGAAAAAAUUUUAAAAAGAAAGUCUGACACAUUUCAAUGCUGUGUUCAAGCCUUCUGUUUUCCAAAAGAGGCCAUCAGGUAUCACAGCAAAUCACUUUUGUGGAUUAUAAAAGGAAGGUGACUUGCAGCUCUAAAAUCUUAAAUUCUCUGCUCCAUGUUCUGUGUUUUAUAAAUAAGCAUAAUUGGUAUUCAGAAAAGAAAUCUGCAAUCUCAGCCUACUUCAGGAUGUUGAUCUCACUCCGGACAAGUAAACACCAAUACCACCAACCUGAGUAGGCCUUCCAUGAAAUACUGGGGACACUAAGAAGCCACACCCCCUGAAACAUUCUAUGGUCAUUCAGCAUUUGAAGCAAAUUGGAAAGGUGAAAAACCUGAUAAGUGGGUGCCUCAUGAGCUCACCGAAAAUUUUUUUAAAAAUUGUCGUUUUGAAGUGUCAUCUUCUCUUAUUCUAUGCAACAACAAUGAACCAUUUCUUGAUUGGAUUGUGAUGUGCGAGGAAAAGUGGAUUUUAUAUGACAACUGGCGAUGACCAGCUCAGUGGUUGGACCGAGAAGAAGCUCCAAAACACUUCCCAAAGCCAAACUUGCACCAAAAAAGGUCCUGGUCACUGCUUGGUGGGCUGCUGCUGGUCUGAUCCACUGCAGCUUUCUGAAUCCCUGGGAAACCAUUACACCUGAGAAGUAUGCUCAGCAAACCAAUGAGAUGCACCAAAAACUGCAAUGCCUGCAGCUGGCUUUGGUCAACAGGAAGGGCCCAAUUCUUCUCCACCACAAUGUCCGACUGCACAUCACAACCCACGCUUCAGAAGUUGAACAAAUUGGGCUACGAAGUUUUGCCUCAUCUCCCAUGUUCACCUGACCUCUCGCUGAGAAGUAGCUUUGGAGCUUCUUCUCGGUCCAAACACUGAGCUGGUCAUCGCCGGUUGUCAUAUAAAAUCCACUUUUCCUCGCACAUCACAAUCCAAUCAAGAAAUGGUUCAUUGUUGUUGCAUAGAAUAAGAGAAGAUGACACUUCAAAACUACCACUUCUUCAAGCAUCUCAACAACUUUUUGCAGGGAAAAUGCUUCCACAACCAGCAGGAUGCAGAAAAUGCUCUCCAAAAGUUUGUCAAAUCCUGAAGCAUGGAUUUUUAGGCUACAGGAAUAAACGUAUUUCUCACUGGCAGAAAUUUAUUGAUUGUAAUGAUUCCUUUUUUGGUUAAAGACAUGUUUGAGCCUAGUUAUAACGACUUACAAUUCACGGUCCAAAACUGCAAGUACUUUUUGCACCAGCGAGAUGUGCAUAUGAGAAGCUUAUUUCACCAAGCCUCUUAUCUAGUCAUCUGUAUAAUUAUUUCAAGCACAGGAGGGACCCUACUUCUUACUGGGGAGGAUUAAGGAAGGCUUCCUGGAGGAUUGUCUCAGAGCUUGCUGCAGGUGCAUAUUGAAAAGCAAUUCAUUACAAUUUUCUAUAAGAGACUGUGGCUGAACAAUGAUACACAGAUUAGCAAACUGAGGCUUGGAGAAGUGGAAAACUUGCCUAAGAUUAAACAGCAUUAAAGGAACAGAGGCUGGGCUUGCAACUCAGCUCUGGGACUCCAAAGUCUGCCCUUUCCAACUACAUCGUCUUGCUGAUCGCGAGCUCAGUUGAUGGUAAAGACCUGUGAUUUUGGCCAUUACAAACAGUGCUGUUGUGAAUGUUGUGCCUGCCUGUCUUCCAGCUGGACAUAGGAGGAUGCUCCUGGAAAUCUGGGCCAGCCACAGAACCCUGUUUGUGCUGCGGACGCUGUGUGGAGACGUUUUGCAAUGCCCGAGGGAGGCUGGCACACCAGGGAUGCAGAGACAGUCAGCCGGAGCCCAAUGAGAGCUGGCGAGGUGGCUCACACCUGUAGUCCCAGCACUUUGGAAGGCAAAGGCGGGAGGAUUGCUUGACUUCAGGAAUUUGAGACCAGCCCAGGCAAC
rnacentral:lncRNA from 1 species